GCUUCUUUUAGGGGUUAAACUGCUGGUUAAACCAUUUGGUUUUCGACCACUAGGACCCGGGUUCGAUUCCCGCAUUGGACA